rnacentral:lncRNA from 1 species
CUCAUUUCAUAUGUUGUUUUGUGAAGCUGAAAUAAUAAGACAUUUACAUUUCCCUGAUAGGUAGAACUAAUAACACAAUAUUACAGGAUCCUGGUACUAAAUUGAUAGUGACUUUGACAUAUUGCAUAAUCUAAGCUUUUUAGUCCGAAUUACAUUCACUUGAUCUGAACAUGCUCUUUUUCAAUUAGCUUCCUCCUCCACCCCAGCAGGCUUGCUUGGGUGUCUUCUUUGCAGUGCUCCCUUUCGUCCCAGAACCCAUUGGGUGAGGCUCCUUAGUAUUAGGACCUGUGAGAAGGUGUUACACAGUAGGUGACUGCUGGGCUGUGCGUUGGUUCUCACUGAGCCUACUUGGGAAUGGAAACUCCAGAUUCUUUGCUGCUGCUGCUUUCGAAGGAAAUGUUGGACAGCCUACAUCCUGCAACAUUACUAAUCAGCAGCAGGAUGAAAAGAAUAUUGAAAAAGUUGUAUCAACGAAAAUCACCAAAUCUGGACUACCAAGAAGAGAAACUCCCCCAAAGUAAUCCUUCAUAGACUGUCUUGGACACUUGGAAGAAAACAAACAAACAAACAAAAAAACCAGAACAACAACAAUCCCUAAUCACAACCUCACGAUCAGAACUGCCUAAUCAAUUUCCUUUGAAGAGUUUGCAAGCAACAGGCACUACUUUUAGUGCUUGAACUGCAAGUGAAAUGAGUUAUAAACAAGACUUGAACAAAAGUGGAGUUGAUAAAUUUAUUUUCAUUACCCAUUAAAAAAGACACACAAAAACAAACAAGCAAGGUAAUUUUUAAAAUCUUAACCUAACUCCCUUUUACUUUAUCUCUUUAUAUCUUUUUAAAAAUGCUUAAAUUAAUAGUUACCUAAGAAGCUCUGUAAGUGUAAUAUUACACUGUAACUGUAAUCUUGACCACUUGCUUAGUAUUAAGAAAUCAUUGCUUAAAUGGUUCUAUUAUUCAAAAUAAAUGGAUAUUUUCAGUAGUUUAGAUAUACUGU